ACCUCGGAUCAGGUAGGAAUACCCGCUGAACUUAAGCAUAUCAAUAAGCGGAGGAAAAGAAACCAACAGGGAUUGCCCUAGUAACGGCGAGUGAAGCGGCAACAGCUCAAAUUUGAAAUCUGGCCCUCGGGUCCGAAUUGUAAUUUGUAGAGGAUGCUUUUGGUGAGGUACCUUCCGAGUUCCCUGGAACGGGACGCCAUAGAGGGUGAGAGCCCCGUCUGGUCGGAUACCGAUCCUCUGUAAAGCUCCUUCGACGAGUCGAGUAGUUUGGGAAUGCUGCUCUAAAUGGGAGGUAUAUGUCUUCUAAAGCUAAAUAUUGGCCAGAGACCGAUAGCGCACAAGUAGAGUGAUCGAAAGAUGAAAAGCACUUUGAAAAGAGAGUUAAAAAGUACGUGAAAUUGUUGAAAGGGAAGCGCUCAUGACCAGACUUGGGCUUGGNUUGAUCAUCCAGGGUUCUCCCUGGUGCACUCUUCCAGCCCAGGCCAGCAUCAGUUCGCUGUGGGGGAUAAAGGCUUUGGGAAUGUGGCUCCUCCGGGAGUGUUAUAGCCCAUUGUGUAAUACCCUGUGGUGGAC
rnacentral:rRNA from 1 species